GGAGAGAUGGCCGAGUGGUUUAAGGCAGCGGUCUUGAAAACCGCCGUGGGUGCGAGCUCACCGUGGGUUCGAAUCCCACUCUCUCCGCCA
rnacentral:tRNA from 1 species